AAUUGCAAAUCUUAGUCACCUGGUCAACCUACUUCUAGCAGGGAACAAGCUUUCUGGAUCAAUACAUUCUUCUUUAUUUACUCUUCCAUCGUUGAAGAACCUGUAUCUUGGAGCCAAUCAAUUGGUUGGGAAAAUUGAUGAGUUCCCCAAUGCAUCUUCUUCUUCGAUUGAGAGAUUAUAUAUUAGCUAUAAUUAUUUAACAGGACCAAUCCCAAAGUCAAUCCUCCAACUUCCAAGGCUUGAAGUGCUUGAGAUCGGAGAAAAUAGCUUCAGUUCCCUGAAGCUUGACAUGUUUGUCCAACUCAAGAACUUAAAGGGUCUCGACUUAUCCAACGUAAGCUUGUUAAUUGAAAGCGACAACAGAAGUCUUACUUUUCCCCAAUUAGAGAGCCUAAGCCUAAGGUUAUGCAAUCUUACUGAAUUUCCAGAAUUCAUUAAAAGGCAAGGCAAGUUGGUUGACUUAGAUCUUUCUAACAAUCAUAUCCAUGGUGUUGUGCCUAAUUGGUUGUGGAAGAGCAGUCUUUCAUCCUUAGACCUUUCUUUCAAUGUGAUUGAUUUUCCAAAACAACUUCCUUUAAGUGAUGCAAACUUCUUUUUCCCAAUGUUGAGGCGAUUGUGUUUGAGGUCCUGUAACAUAAGUGCGUUUCCAGAGUUCUUAAAGAGUCAAGAAAAUUUAGAAUAUCUCGAACUUUCAAAUAAUAAAAUAAGUGGUGCAAUACCAAACUGGGUGUGGAAGAAAAGUUUGCGGUAUCUGUUUCUUGCUAAUAACCAUCUCUCAUCUUUGGACCAACUUUUACCCAAUCAGAGUUCAACUUCUUCACAGGGCUCUUUCAUUUUCGACACAUCUUCUAACAAUUUGAGUGGCCCAAUUCCAAAUUGGUUAUGCAAUAUGAGUCAACUUUACAGAUUCAAUGCAUCUUAUAACAAUUUUAGUGGCUCAAUUCCAAAUUGCUUGGACAAUAUGAGCCAACUUGACACUGUCGAUGUAUCUUAUAACAAUUUGAGUGGCCCAAUUCCAAAUUGCUUGGGCAAUAUGAGUGCUCUGAUGUGGUUGGGUUUGCAAGGAAAUAACUUCAGUGGAAUGAUACCAAAAUUUUCAAAAGCAACCCAACUGCGGUUUCUCAAAGUUAGUGAGAAUAGAUUGGAAGGGAAGUUGCCCAGAUCAUUAGCUGAAUGCACUCAGCUUGAAGUUUUGGACGUGGGAAACAACAAGAUGAAUGAUACAUUCCCUUUUUGGUUGGAGAAAUUGCCUUACUUGACGGUUCUAAUAUUGCGGGAAAACAGAUUUUAUGGUCAAAUUAAACAUUUCAAACAUAAAUCUGUUUUCCCAACUUUGGAUGUAUUGGACAUUGCUUCAAACCAGUUUUCUGGUGAACUAUCCAUUGAUUUCCUUCAACCCACUAGACUAAGGUCACUCAAAAUAGGUGGGAAUAAAUUGGAAGGGAAGCUGUCGAGAUCAUUAGCCAAUUGCACAGCACUUGAGGUUCUGGACCUUGGAAAUAAUAUGGUUCAUGAUACAUUCCCAUUUUGGUUAGAGAAGCUACCUUCCUUGAAGGUUCUCAUUUUGCGAGCAAACAGAUUCUACGGCACAAUUACAGAAUUCAACACAGAACGUGGGUUUCCAAAGCUACGCAUUUUGGACAUUGGUUCCAACAAAUUUUCAGGCGACUUGUCCGUUGAAUUUUUGCAAAGCUUGAAGGCAAUGAUGCAGAUAACAAAUGAGGAUAAAGCUAAGCGGGUUUACAUUGGGGACGACUAUUAUCAAGACUCUGUGACAAUUGUUAACAGAGGGAUUGAAAUGUUCUACCAAAGAGUCUUGACAAUUCUUACUUGUCUUGACCUUUCCAACAAUAGUUUCCAUGGGAGAAUACCAGAAGAAAUACAAAUGCUGAGGUCACUCAGAGUGAUGAACUUAUCCAACAAUGGCUUCUCUAGUGAAAUCCCAUUAGCACUUCAAAAUCUAAAAGACCUCGAAUCUUUGGAUCUCUCAAGAAACAAGCUGUCAGGGAAGAUUCCUCCACAACUUACAAGUCUAACUUUCCUGGCAGCAUUGAACUUGUCAUACAACCAACUUGAAGGGAGCAUACCACAAAGCAACCAAUUCAUUACAUUUACAAAUGAUUCCUACCGUGGGAACCCAAAAUUGUGUGGGCUGCCAUUGUCAAGGAAAUGCAAUGAAGUUGGUCUUCCAAUGCCACCACCUCCAGUGGAAGAUGAAGAUUCAUGGUUAAAUGCUCUGUCUACUUGGAAAAUUGCAUUGAUAGGUUAUGCUAGCGGAUUAGUCGUUGGGCUAUGUAUUGGAUAUACAGUGCUGAAUGAGUUGGGAAACAAAUGGGUUUACAAGUUCAAGUGUGGGAAAAGAAAUAGAAGAAGAUGUAGGUGACUCCAUCAGAAUUCUUGCUUCAAAAUUAGCUGGUAAGCAUUUGUCUUUCUACUUUGAACUGAUAGUUGUUGAUAUAUAUAUAUAUAGGUUUUCAUAACCUCAUUUUUUGCUGUCAUUACCAAGUUCACUAUCAUAUCGUACUUGUAAUUUUAUGUUACCAUUGAGCAAUGCAGGAGGUACUUGAAGCAGGACAUGGAAUGUACAGUUGUGAGGUUCAUGAAGAAUGUAGGCAAUGAUCCUAACAAGAUCAAUCCACUGGUUUGUAAUUUUGCUUUAUAUGCACUUUUUUCCUGUUGUAGUUUUCUAUGAGUAUAAAUAAGUGUUUAUUCAUUUUGCAUCCAGGUCCCUGUGGAUUUGGGGGAUGCAAUGUUUCACUGCUACUGAAUUUCCAAGCUAAUAAUGAUAUUAUAAACAGGGAAAUGGCUGCCCAAGCUUUCUUUUAUAUGCAAUUUACUUCAAUUUUUUUAUCUUUAGAAUAUUUGUACAGCUGAGGAGAUUUGAUGGCAUGAUGUUGAUGAAAGCCAUAUCUGAUGGACAUUGGACUGAUUGUGUAAAGAGACGCAGAUGCUGCUACUCCCAUCCUUUGCUCUUCCAAACAGACGUGAGUUUUAUAUUUUAUGAAUCACGUGUUGGGCUUUAGGACCGGGUGUAAAGGGUGGACCUGUUGGUCCGGGUUUUAGUUCAGCCCGUCACUUAUUUUUAUACUAGUUUAUUUAUACUUUCAAUGAUAGUUUUAUUAAUUUAAAAAAUAUGGUUGAAUUAAGUAAUAAUAUGAUAAAAUAAUAAUAAUUAAAAUUUAAUGAAAUAAAUUAUGUCUUAACUUUCCAAUGUUAGCGAAAGGCCAACAAUAUCUCACCUUAUUAUUUUCUUUGUUAAUCCAAAAUUAAAAAGUUCAAAUUAGAAUGUGAUUUAGAGUUUGAAGACUUAAUUAAAUUUUUUUGAAGUUUAGAGUUCAAUUUAACAUAUAAUCCAUAGUUUAGGGACAUCAAGUGAAUUAACCCUUUGAUAAAUCCUAACAUAUUCAUAAGUUGCAUACUCAUUAAUAAAUUAGGACUAAAAUGCUUAUUGGUAAAUUGAUUUCACAUAUAAGUUAAUAUAUUUUUGGGUGCUAUACCAAAGUUUAAUUAAAAGAUUUUAAUGGUACACUUUUACAUUUUAAAAAUUUAAAUUAUAUAUAAACAAUUAUGAUAUAAAAUCGAGACGGCCCACAUCUAAAAUAUUUUAAGCAUCAAAUACAUGAAAAAAAAAAUUCUAAACCCAAAUAUUUUAAGCAUUCGAAACAUUGGCAUUGGCAUCAAUUAGAACACUUGGAUUGGAUAAUGAAAAAAAAAAAAUCCAAACCCAUCUAUUUAACAACGGUAUGUUUAUUAUAUGAUUUUCAAUACAAAAUCAGAUAAUUAAUCGGACACUGUUGAGUUAACUAAUACUUACAAUGUUCAAUUAAAUGAUUUUUUCCAAAAAAAAUUAAUUGUUUAUAUUUCGAAUCCAAUUCAACCAAUAAAAAGCCAGUUAUAUUUGAAUGCGAAUGCAAAGCAGUGGAUAUAACGUAAGGGACUCAAUCCAAUUUGGCAUUCUAAAUGAUGUCUUAAUUACAAUGUGGUACGCUUUCCAGAGUUGGCAAACAACCUAAAGCACUUGUUUAAUUUAUCUUUGAAAAGUGAUAAAAAUAUUAAUAACUAAAAUUAAAAAACUGCAAGAACCAUUAUCUUUCACAAAUUAUUCAAAAUCAUAUGGUAUUUGUAGUCGUUGGCUUAUAUUUUGAAAAGAUUGAUGUUACAAACUAACUCUGAAUUUCCUAAGCUUAUUUUUUGUCCCUUGACACACUUCGCUAUCAUAUGGUAUUUGUAGUCGUAGGCUUGUAGCAUUGACAUUCAUUUUAUCAUUUCGCAAUGCAAGAGGUACUGAAACAGGCUAAGCUGAAACGGCUCAUUAGGUUUGCUACUCCAAAAGACUCUUCGAAAAGAGCAAUGAAAGAAGCGACAAAAGGGUCCUUGGCUGUUUGUGAUGAUGCACUUACAUAUACUCACUUCUAUACGAUUCAUGUAAAUCCUUUCUAUAACUUAUUUCCUAGGAAGCAUUCCUCUAUUAGAGCAACUAAUCCAUAAUUCUUAAAUCCAGAUACUGUAAUUGGUUUUUUUUUUUUUUCUCUCGAUUUUGUAGCAGGGGCCAAACUCCCCAAUGUCUUGGCUACCAAUCUUCUUUAAUUUAAUCGAACUCAUUUAUGGUAAGGAUGAGUUUUGGAAUGCUCUAUGAAUAUUGUGAGUUGAACAUGAGCAGCAUACUUGAUAUGCAAAAUCUAAUAUCAAGAAUCUCCCUUGUGAGGUUCAUUUUUGCUUCAAUUCACAGCCAUUUGGGGUACGUAAUUUGUCUCUAGCACUGAACUUUCAUGCCAAAUAAUGCUAUAUUAUAAACAAGGAUCAUGGCUUUUCCAAGCCUUCUUUAAUAUGAAUUUACUCUUUAGUUCAGAAUUUUAUUUUCAAAUUAUUUUUGUGCAGCUUGGAAGAUAAUAUGACGAGUUGAUGUUGAUGAAAGCCACAUUUAACACCGUGAUUCUGCAAAGAGACACCACUGCUAGAUGUGCCUCUUUGAAACAGGACAAGCUCAAGCAAAGAUCGUUAACUUUAUCUUUGAAAACAAUGGUAAAAGUUUCUAACUAAUUAUCUUUUCCUUGACAUCUUCUUUAAUCAUGCUUGAAUUAAGUUUAAGCAUAUGAAAGACAUGAUUGUUGGUAGAUAAAUGAGAAGCUUCAUGUUCUAAUUUUCAGGCUAAUGGUCUAAGAAGACAGUAAGGCGUGUUGAUUGCAGUUUGUUAUCUAUUCUAUGGAAAAGAAAACGUGCAUUGCCAACAUAAAGUACAGAAAGGAUAUGCAUAAGGUGCAAAGGCUUAUCACCGAAGCAAGUCUACAGCUUGUUUAAGGCGGCUCAUGUUCUCUUACAUGUAAUUUGCAUGAAAUCUUAUUAUCUUAGGAUUAUACUGGAGUGCCACCAGCAGUUGACCUCACUAGCAUGUGAGACACUGUUAAGAAUCUUGACAAUGAUCUUAACAAGAUUAUUCCACUAGUUUGUAAUUUUCCCUCUAUAUUUUACCAGUAGUAUAUAACUUAUUUACUUCUAUAUCUUGCAAUUUAUGCAGCCCCCGAGCAUGGUAUAGCUUGGUGUUGGUAGAUUCACAUUGUCCAAGAACUUACAAGAUGUUGAGAAAGCAUAGUGUUGGCAAAAUUUUUGAGUUUUAUGGUUAAGUCUAUGAUCAUAAAUCUUAAGAAUAGAAUGAUUUUACUAUAAAAAAUUUCAGGUUUAUAGGACUUUAUCAUCAAUGUAACUAUUUUUAAUGUGGUUAUAGGAGAGGGUGUGGCUGAAUUAUCAUUAGCUAAUCAUGGUCGAGCCAUAGUUGCAGACAUGGGACCUGAAUAAUGUGCAACCAUGGGUUGUCUUUCCUGUGGAUCAUACAGCCUUGCAAUUCCUUAAUUUAACCAGCAGGAGUGGUGACACAGUUCAUUCUCCGUCCAUUUUAUGCGUGGUGAUGACUCCAACAAGGUUUUAUGUUAUUAUUGCUACUAUUUUGUCUUUUUAAUAAUUUAGAUAUAAGAACAUUUUCAUAUAUAUAUAGAAUAAGGAUGAGACAGAAGGACUAAAAUACUGGCAUCAAUAACAACACUAAGACCAAUAAAAUCUCAUAUUUCAAAAUUAGAAUUGAAAAAAAAUAUAAAAGAUUGAAGAUGCAAAGCAAAUAAAUUAAGUGUGAAUUGAAAACCUUAAUGCUAAGACUAAGAAUAAAUAAUUCAUCCCUUAAGACUAAUAGCUUCAUCAUCAUCCUUUGCUGCGAUAUGACUCUGGCUUGAAUUUAAAGAAGCAAAUAUGAAGUACUCAUCAUGCGAGAGAAAAUUACUUAGCUAAGAGAAGAAAUCAUUUACUUCAACCAAACUAUCCCCGGUAGAAAUAAAAGCCAAAAGAAUUAGAUUCAUUCAAAACAAAAAAUUGUAGGGAUUAGUUUUAUAAUUUUACUUAAAUUUUCAUUUCAUCAGGAGGACGUGGGUUCGAAUAUGUUGAAGUGCAUUAUGCUCCUAUUUAUGGGUUGGGGAGAGACUAAGCGUAGUUUUAGGCAUUGUAUCAAAAAAAAAAGAUUUGAUCAGAACCUAUAAUGUGAAAAGUUGUUACUAAAAAGUUUAAAAAAUAGAAUUUUUAGUUUCCUUUUGUUUAUUUAUUAUUUUUUUCAUAAUAUCUUUUAUCUAUAUUUGAAGUGUUUUGGGUUUAAUUUUUAAUCAUUAUAAUCAAAAACCCAAUUUUGUACUAAUAAAGCACACCAUUGUUAGUUUUUAGUGUUAUUUUUGAGGUAUUAUAUAUUUGUAUUUGACCUAUGUUUAUAAUGGUGAUCAGACCCGUUUUUAAUAUUUUUGAGACCCUAGGCGAAACAAUAAAUCGGGGUCUUGUUUAAAAAAUUAUUAAAUGUAAUACAAAAAAAUGAACCUUUUUUAUUUUAUAUUUUUUCUGCCUGCAAUAAAUCAAAAGACUAAAAAAGUUAAAAAAAUUUCACGUUAAAAAUUAAAAAAAGAAACUUUUUGCCCUAAAGUUGGGCUGACGGAGACUAGAAAACAACCCAACAAAUUCCAAUAAAAUCUCAUACUACAAAAUUGGAAUUAACAAAUGGAAAAACAAAAAGACAUUGGUAAAGCAAAAUAAGUGUGAAACAUGAACAAAUUGACAUGAAGACUAAGAAGAGAGUAUGAAAAAUUUUAAAAUUGUAAUUUAGGAUGACUUUAAAAUAUGGGGAAGAUUCAUGAAAAUUAAAUGGGCCUGAAAUCAAUGAUUUUGCAGUUUCUCUUUGUUGAUUUGGUGGAUGUUUCCCACUACUUUUAAUGGUUCCAAUUAUAUACUUGGAAAUUGGAAUUACUUUUGCCACUCAUUUCUCAUGUUGGUUUGGCCAAUAAAAGAUUAUUUGCAUAAAGCAACAAUGCGGCAAUAGGCUGCAAUAUUUCCACAUGCCUCUCAAACUUUUUACUCCAAUUUUAAGGAUUUUUUUUAUUUUUUAAAAAUUAACAUAUUUUUCUACCUUUCUUCUUUCUCUUCUCAUCCUCUCUUUCUCAAUCUCACCUCCCCAAAAAAUGCAAAAUAAAAAAAAUUAUUUUAAUUUUUAAAAAAUAUAAAUUUUGGAAUUUUUAUGAAUUUUUUGAAUUUUUUGAAAAGUAUUUUAAAUUAUUUUGUAAUUUUUGUUGAGAGAUAUCAAUUUGUUAAAUUUUAAAAUUGACAAUGACCAAAGGAGCAUGUACACCAAUUUAUUGUAUGAAUUGUUCGGGUUAUUUAAAUUAUAAAAUUCAACUCGAAAAUCAAAUUAUAAAUAUUUUUAAUAUUAUAAAACAUAAAAAUAUUAAGAUUAAAUAAUAAUAUAGAAAAGGAAUUUUUUUUCUCCAAAUUUCUCAUCCAAAUACAGUCUAAGAAAGCUUGAAAGCUGAAAUUUAAAAAUAUUAUUAUCUUAACUCGAUUUAAAAUUUUUUUGAGUCAAGUCGAGUGCAAAGAAAUUAGAGUUGAAUUGAAUCGAGUGAAAUUGUUUGAGUUAAACUAAAAAUUUUAAUAUGUCAAAUUGAAAUAUUUUUAUGGUAUAAUUAAUUUUAUGUUAGAGCACAUAAAUUUGAAACCAUAUAUAUAUAUUUGAAAACUUUUGUUGAAAAUUUUUAAUAAUAUAAACUCGAAACUUGAAUUAUAAAAAUAUUUAAUAAUAUAAAACAUAAAAAAUAUUAAAAUUAAAUAAUAAUAUAGAAAUAAAAAUUUUUCUUCAAAUUUCUCAUCCAAAUACAGUCUAGAAAAGUUUUAAAGAUGAAAUUUAAAUAUGUUUGUUUCAAAAGUGGAAAAUUCUAUAUAUUGAAUCAUCAAAAUUUUCACUUAUUGUGUUCAUCAAUCCAGCGAAGACUUAACUUGUACACAUUUCUUUGAUAAAUUAUAACUUAUUUACAAAUUCGAUACUCAUUAACAAAUUGAUAUUAUAUUUUAAGUUAAAUUAUUUUAAAUUAUUUUGUAAUUUUUGUUGAGAGAUAUCAAUUUGUUAAUUUUUAAAAUUAAUAGGGACUAAAGGAGUAUGUAUAUCAAUUUGUUGUUUGAAUUAUUUGUGUUUUUCAUCAUAAAAUUCAACUCGAAACUGGAAUUGUAAACAUAAAGAGAGCCUAAGCCUAAGGUCAUGCAAUCUUACUGAAUUUCCAGAAUUCAUUAAAAGGCAACCCAAGUUGGUUGACUUAGAUCUUUCUAAUAACCAUAUCCAUGGUUUUGUGCCCAAUUGGUUGUGGAAGAGCAGUCUUUCAUGGGUAGACCUUUCUUUCAAUGUGAUUGAUUUUCCAAAACAGCUUCCCUUAAAUGAUGCAAACUUCUCAUUUCCAAUGUUGGCAGACUUGGAUUUGAGAUCCUGCAACAUAAGUGCGUUUCCAGAGUUCAUCAAAACACAAGACAAGUUGGUUGACUUAGAUCUUUCUAACAAUCAUAUCCAUGGUGUUGUGCCUAAUUGGUUCUGGAAGAGCAGCCUUUCAAGGGUAAACCUUUCUUUCAAUGUGAUUGAUUUUCCAAAACAACUUCCCUUAAAUGAUGCAAACUUCUUAUUUCCAAUGUUGACAGGAUUGGAUUUGAGAUCCUGUAACAUAAGUGCGUUUCCAGAGUUCUUAAAGAGUCAAAAAAAUUUAGAAGAAUUCGACGCAUCUUAUAACAAUUUGAGUGGCCCAAUUCCAAAUUGGUUAUGCAAUAUGAGUCUACUUUACACUUUCGAUGCAUCUUAUAACAAUUUGAGUGGCUCAAUUCCAAAUUGCUUGGUCAAUAUGAGUCAACUUGAAACUUUCGAUGUAUCUUAUAACAAUUUGAGUGGCCCAAUUCCAAAUUGCUUGGGCAAUAUGAGUGCUCUGAUUUUGUUGGGUUUGCAAGGAAAUAACUUCAGUGGAAUGUUACCAAAAUUUUCAACAGCAACCCAACUGCAAUUUCUGAAAGUUAGUGAGAAUAGAUUGGAAGGGAAAGCAAAGGCACGGCGGUGGUCACGCUGGUCGUGGUGGCGCGACGGCGAUCAGGGCCCUUUCGCUGCUGCUUUCUUGACCCUUUUUUUGCUUCUUUUUUUUUGCGAAAAAAACUGAAACCCCCCCUUCUCUUCAAUUUUUCUUUUUAAUCCCUCCAAAAUUGUCUUCUUCCUCUUUGUUUUUAGGUGACAGGGGAAGAAAAUCAUGGCCUAGGGAGCUGCCGGAGUAGCUGGAAGUGGCAGGAGCAUGCUUGGAUGCCGAUUGGGUGAUUUGACAAGUCCAGAAGGACCAAAAUGUAGAAGACACAAAAUAUUUGGGGUAAAAAUGUGAUUUGGGGAAAAUAUAGGGCCAAGAUGUAAUUUUUUGAAAUUUUAAGGGUCAAAGUGUAAUUUACAAAAUAUUAGGGGUCAAUAUAUAAUUUUUGAAAAAUUUAGGGGCUAAAAUGUAAUUUAUUUUUUUGUAUUUUUUCAAAGUUUUAUUAUUACUAUUAAUAUUUAAAACAUAAAUUAAAAAUGGACUAAGACAAUUCCAAUAUUAAAUCCUAAUGGGCCCAAUCAUUGGGCCCAUACGAGGCCGACCCGGCCCAAAAUUCUAACCGGGCAAAAUUUAGUGAUUACAGUUAUUUUUGUGCAAUCAAAAUUUGGACAUUUGCAUGCAAUGCCAAAGACUUAAGAUAUUUCAUACUAUCAUUUUUCCCGAUCCAAAGUUAAAGAUAUUAAAAAUUUUAAAUUAGAAUGUUAUUUAUAAUUUGAGAAUUUGAGAUAGAAGGUGAAUUAACACUUUGAUAAAUCAUAACAUAUUUAUAAGAUGGAUACUCAUUAACAAGUUGAUUUUAUAUUAUAAGUUAAAUUUUAUUUUUUUUGGUGUUAUAACAAAAUUACCUUAGAAGAUUACAUUGUAAUUUUUUUAUUUUAAAAAAUGAUGUAGAAAUAAUUAUGUAUAACAUAAAAAAUGAUAAAGUUUGGCCAAGUUUAAAAUAUUUGUAACAUAAUUUUUUCUACAAAGUCCAUACUUAAUAUAUAUAAUUUAAACUUAAAAUCUCGGUUGAAGUAUUAUCUUUGCUUAUUUUAUACGUAGUGACGGUUCCAAUAAGAUUUAAAGUACAUUAUUAUUACUAUAAAUUUGUCUUUUUUAAUGACUUAGAUAUAGAAGAUUAUUUAUAUAGACUAAGGAGUGGGCAAGAAAACUAAAACCUCGGCAUUAAUAAGAAAAAUGACAUCAAUAAUAUAUUAAAAUCUCAUUCUUCAAAAUCAAUAAUAUAUUAUUCUUUAAUAAUAUAUUAAAACGCAAAUUAAAUGUGAAUUUAACAACUUAUUUCUAAUACUAACAACAAAUAAUUUAUGCUAUAAAUUAUUUAUUAUUAGUAUUAUUAUUAUUAUCCCUUGCUGGAAAAGGUUAACCAAAAAGACUUAGCUAAAGUGGUGGAACAUUAUUUUGAUGCAGUAUUGACUGGGCAAAAAGACUUGGAAAUUGCGUGCUAUGCCAAACAUGAAAACUACACAUUUGUGUAUAAAUAAGUUGUAUGCCAAGCACAAUCCUUCUUCACACCCAACAAACAUGAACACUCUUCAUUUCCUUAUUUCACUCUUCCUCUUCUCAUGCGUCCUUUCUCUUGUCAUGUCUUUUUCACCUCCUCAAACUCAUCUCCCUAAGCAAUGCCUUGAUGAUCAGAGAGCUCCUCUCCUGCAAUUGCAGCGUCAUCUUUACUGUGCCCCUAAUUUUACUUUCUCUUCCAAAUUUGACCUCUGGGAUGUCAACACUGAUUGUUGUUCUUGGGAAGGAGUCACUUGUGAUGCUUAUGGUCAUGUCGUUGGCAUUGAUCUUAGCAAUAAAAACCUUUCAGGCAGGUUUCACCCCAUAUUCAAUCUCCAUCGUCUUCAACACCUUAAUCUUGCUGGAAACAACUUUAAUACCACUAUGUUUUCCCAUGGGUUUCACAAACUCCAAAAUCUAACCCAUCUCAAUCUUUCAAGCUCAUGUUUCCAUGGCCAAAUUCCAGUGGAGAUCUCAUACUUAACGAGGUUAGUGUCUCUUGAUCUAUCUAAUCAAGGUUCUUGUUAUUUGCGAUACUACGCCAUUCUUGACCCAUAUAGAGGCGUCUACACCUACAAUGAUCCAUUGCCUUACGAACUUCAACAGCCUCUUAAAUUAGAGAAUCCAAACUUCAAGACAUUAAUCAAGAAUUUGAGGUUUCUCACAGAGCUUUAUUUGGAUGGGGUAAACAUUUCAACUCAAAGUGCUAAAUGGUGUGAAACCACAUCUCUUGUACUUUCCAACCUGCGUGUGUUGAGUCUGUCAAACUGUGGUUUGAAAGGUCCAUUAUGUUCUUCACUCUCAAGACUCUCUUUUCUUUCCAAACUUAUCCUUGAUGGGAACCCAAUCUCUUAUUUACCUCCCAAUUUCUUGGAAAUUUCCUCUCGUUUGGUUUCUCUCAGUUUGAGGAACUGCUAUUUGAGUGGCCAUUUUCCAACUGAAAUUCUCUUAUCGCCAAAAAUUCAAAGCAUUGACAUUUCAUUGAACCACCAACUUAUGGGUCAGUUGCCAGAAUUUCCAGCAAACAAUGCAUUACUGAGUCUGUCACUUUAUUUUACAAAUUUCAGUGGAAAACUGCCUGAAUCGAUUGGUAAUCUUAAGUUCCUGACAAAUUUAGAGCUUUCUUAUUGCAAUUUUUUUGGACCUAUUCCAUCGUCAAUUACGAAUCUUAGUCACCUGGUCAACCUAUAUCUGGGAGGGAACAUGCUUUCUGGAUCAAUACAUUCUUCUUUAUUCACUCUUCCAUCAUUAAAGACCCUGUCUCUUGGAGAAAAUCACUUGGUUGGGAAAAUUGAUGAGUUCCCCAAUGCAUCUUCUUCUUUGAUUCAAGAACUAUAUAUAGGCAAUAAUUAUUUAACAGGACCAAUCCCAAAGUCAAUCCUUCAACUUCCAA
rnacentral:lncRNA from 1 species